UUUGCCUCCUCCUAUGAUAUGGCCUGAGUUCUGGCAGUUCUAGAACCUUCUGAAGCACAGGCAUAGAAGGUAGAAUGCUUACAUUGGACACCUCACUCCAUCAGUGCUACCAACGAGCGGGGCCACUUGCUCCUCCCCACUGCCCCUCUCCCACCAUGGCUGUUGGACUCAAAGCCACGUGCUCAGGUGAGGGAACUAAGAAGAAAGGGAAGUUGAGUCACUUGCUGGAGACUAAAAGCUCCAACCAGGAAGAGAAAAACAGCUGACUUCAACCCAACUUGUCCUCGAGAGGCUCACCUUGAGUGCAGCUCACUGCUCUUGCCUGUCGUUGUAAGGAAGAUGCAACCUGGGGUACUUUCAAUUCAGAAGACUUGGAGCUAAGAGAACUCAAAGUCUGGAAUAUCUCUCUCUGCUGGGGUGACUUGAAUAAACUGGCAAAUCAAAA